UGGGGAAUUUUGGACAAUGGGGGCAACCCUGAUCCAGCAAUGCCGCGUGUGUGAAGAAGGCCUUCGGGUUGUAAAGCACUUUUGUCCGGAAAGAAAACGUCGUGGUUAAUACCCGUGGCGGCUGACGGUACCGGAAGAAUAAGCACCGGCUAACUACGUGCCAGCAGCCGCGGUAAUACGUAGGGUGCAAGCGUUAAUCGGAAUUACUGGGCGUAAGCGUGCGCAGGCGGUCCGCUAAGACAGAUGUGAAAUCCCCGGGCUUAACCUGGGAACUGCAUUUGUGACUGGCGGGCUAGAGUAUGGCAGAGGGGGGUAGAAUUCCACGUNUAGCAGUGAAAUGCGUAGAGAUGUGGAGGAAUACCGAUGGCGAAGGCAGCCCCCUGGGCCAAUACUGACGCUCAUGCACGAAAAGCGUGGGGGGAGC
rnacentral:rRNA from 1 species